rnacentral:rRNA from 1 species
UACGUAGGGCGCAAGCGUUAUCCGGAAUUAUUGGGCGUAAAGAGCUCGUAGGCGGUUUGUCGCGUCUGCCGUGAAAGUCCGGGGCUCAACUCCGGAUCUGCGGUGGGUACGGGCAGACUAGAGUGAUGUAGGGGAGACUGGAAUUCCUGGUGUAGCGGUGAAAUGCGCAGAUAUCAGGAGGAACACCGAUGGCGAAGGCGGCUUCCUGGCCUGCAACUGACGCUGAGACGCGAAAGCGUGGGGAGCGAACCGG